GUUUUUCAAAGUUAACGGGUGGCAAUGUGCAGAAAAAGUAUACCUUGGGUGGGAAAUUGUCCUUUGGCCUAUUUGUUUUGGUGCAGUAUUUUCGCAUAAUUUAUAGUAGAAUUAUCAAGAAGAGACCACUUAUUCGUAGCCUAUACACAAAUCCCUUGAAACUAUGGAUUUAACAGUCGAGAUUGAUUGUACAGUUAUCGAGCAUUGAGCGUGAGAAAAUUUUUAAGAAAUGUUAUACAGAGCCAAAUCUUUUUUAGAAACGUCAUGUAUACGACAUAGAAAAAAGGACCAAAAUUGUCUUUUGAGGUACACUCAUGGAUACAUCCAGAUAGUUGUUUGACGAGUAUGUAGAUUCAUUUUUGGAAUUAUUACGUCGACGACAGUAUAAUGAUACUACGAAUGUUCGUCAGAACUGGAUGAUGGUUCUAACUUGCUUUGUUGGAUACAUCCUUCAUGAGUAUGCUGCAUGGAUGAAAGAUCAUUAUAACUACCAGUUUCCUUCGCUCUUCACACGAUUGGUGGAUGCGGAUUAUCCACCUAAUUUACAUUUGUAACCCUGAGAUGUGAUCAAUAAGGGUUGUUAGAUUUGAAGGAGUGGAAGAUUACAAUUUACGACUCCUUACAGAGUUUUACUACUGACCUAGAGUUAUUUAGGCGAAAGAUGUUAGGGUAUACGUCAAUGAUACCAUAUUUGCUAGCUGCGACAUCAUUUGGGUCUCACAAAGGUCGAAGUCCACGGGACAAUCCAUUUGCAUUGCAUAAGGCGGUGGAUAUACACAGUAGGCACCCCUAUCAGGUGAUUGUGGUAUGUUCAUGUUACGAUACAUCGAGUGCUUGACAUUUCGCCGAUUGUUAUCUUUUGAGAGGGAGGACUCAUUACGCUUACGCACGCGUUUAGACAUACAACUAUUUUUCCAAGAUAUUGAUUGACGAUUA